ACCAACAUGCACGUUAUGCACAUACAUCCCAGAACUUCAAGUAAAAUUUUAAAAAAGAGUAUAAACAAGGGAAAAGAAAUUUAAGCCCUAUUUGGAUUGAAUUCUCAACUGUUUUUGUUUUUUGAUCAACGUGUUAAUUUUUCUUUUUUUUGGUUAACAUAUGUCCAGUCAGCAAGACCAGUGCUUCUCAAAUGUCAAACUUUACAUGUGUUUGAAUUACCCGGGACUCUUGUUAAAAUGCAGAAUCUAGUUCAGUAGGUCUGGGAAGGACCUCAAACCCUUAAUUUAUAACAAGCUCCAAGGAGCAAGAAGCUACAGAAAAGGAGUUAAUUGACUUUGUCUACAUUUUGAAUAAAACAAAAUGGUAGUGCUUCUCCUCCAGUAAAACCUUAUUAUAUAAGAAUGAAAACAAAAUAGAUGCCUUUUGAAUCUCCUAAUACUUCUCACAAAAUAAUUUUUCCUUUUGCCAAAGCAUUUACCAAAGAGUAUCUAGCAAAUUCUGUUAGUUUUAAAUAAGAAAUUAGAUAAAAUUCUAAAAGAAUCCAUAAAAAUGAGGGGCUCUUGGUCUAGGUUAAUGAUGUUGGAAAUGGAACCUGGACUUUAACUCUUUUGCCAUGAGAGACUUACCAUGUUUUCCUUUAUGGUCCUUGCUUAUAAGCAUUUGCAGUAUCCUUAUCUGAAUAUUAAGAAUAACAGCAUGAUUUGGAACCAGAAGGUCUGGGUUUGUGUGUCAGUUGUGCUGUGUAACCUUGGGCAUGUGUCUAUUUUUCUGAGCCUCAUUUUCCUCAUCUGCAAAAAUGAAAUCAAUACAGUUGCCUUUCUAAGUUGAUGUAAAGUUUAAACGGCGGUGCUAUGCUUAAUAUACGCUCUUACUGAUAUGAUUCUUCCCUUCUCUCACCCAAAGCAUAUGAUGUCACAUGGUAUAUGGAAUAAUGUUGGUUUUGUUGGUGGUGUUGGAUGAUGGAUAAGAAGACCUAGAAUUCUUUUAGGCCACUACCUUACUUAAUAUUAAUCAGAACCCUAGCAUUUCAGAUCCAAAACGGUUAGUAAACUCUAAUCUUACCACAACAUAAAGAUAAUGCUAUCUAAAUUUUAUGGAAUAGCUUUUCUUUUUUCCUUAGUGCUCACAGAAAUUAUUCUCUGUAGACAUCUUAAAGACUACUUGCUAACUGAGGAACAGCUACACAAAAAUAACUACCCUAGGCCACACCCCAACAAACCAGGAAGUAUUCUUUUAAACCCAGGCAUGAAAAAAACUUGCAAAUGGUGCCCCUCAAUGGAAGGCAAUACACUUAGCAGGAUCAAGCACGCAAAGGCAAGUCUCCACAUUGGCUCAUCUACCUUGUCUCUCCCAUCUCGUCUGGAAGAACCCCACUUCAUGUUUUGCUUCAGCAUCUAAGAAGAUCUGUUGUCGAUGUGGAAAAAUAUAUAGUGUGACUCCCUCAGGCUGACACAGCAGGGUAGAAGAAUGUAACUACCACGUUGGCCAAGUGUUGAAUCAUAAAGACCUCAGUGGCUUUGAAUCUCGAUACAGCUGUUGUGGAGGUUUUCUUGGAUCUCCCCAGUGUCGAGUCGCCAAGGUAGGACUUGUCACCCUCAGUGCUGCCUGUUUCAGAAGCCAAGUUGUAGCCUCCAACACAGGCCUUGGUGAUCGAUAAGCAUUUGAAAAAAUUAACUAAUUUUCAGUUGAUGACAUUUUAUGAGCCUAAUUGUACUUAGAAAAAACAGUAAUUGAUUUGCCAAUGUUUGUUUCUGCUUCAUGUUCAUGACCAAAAAGAAAACCUAAAGGGCUUUGUGAAGACUUUUGUCAAGGUCCCACCUGCUGACGGUAAUCAGUGUGUUUGCAGUAAGUUGUGAGGUGGUUUGUUAGUUUUAUAUUUUACUUUAUUGUGGUAAUUAUGACUGAAUGAUUGUGUAGCAGUCUACCUGGUAUAAGGGUUUCCAGGGCCUUAUUCCUUGACACAGUGCUGCAUUGGUUGUUCACAGAUUUUCAGAUGAAGCCAUUAAAGCUGAGAAGAGUUAGUGAAUUGGUUAAGUUCAUGCACCUAGAGUGAUGGAGCCCGGAACUGUCCUAUGAGUGUCUUUUUAUCAGUCAGAUUUCUAAAAUAUAUAAAUAGUAGUAAUUCUACUUAUCAAAUUGCUGAAAUUAUGCGAGUGAAAAACAGCAUAAAAGCUUUAAUACUUUUGGCAAAAUCAUUUAUAGAGACAGUAAAAUCUUUGUAGGGACAUAUGUUCCUUUAUAUAAGAAUCAAUGCUAAAAAGUGGGGAAGACAGAAUUUGGAAUUACAAGACCUGGAAAGUUCUACCAGCUGUGACCUUCUGAGCAAGUCUCUUAGAUGCUGUAAGCUGUAAAUUAUGGAGUCAGUAACAACUCCAUAGUGACUAUGAAAAUCAGAUAUGCUAAAAUAUAGGAAAGUGCUUUGUACAUGUCAAAUGUAUGAAUAAUCAUCUUUAACAACAUUAAGUUUUUAUUCCCCAUUGUAUAUUUGGAAAGAAGAUUUGUGGCAUUUCCUUAUACUAAAGGUAGAAGACAGUAUUCCAUUUUCCAGCUUAAGAUCUUUUUAUUAUUGUUAUACUUUAAAUUCUGGGGUACAUGU